rnacentral:rRNA from 1 species
AACGUAGGUGGCGAGCGUUAUCCGGAUUUACUGGACGUAAAGCGCUUGUAGGUGGUUUUGUAAGUUGGGCGUGAAAUCUCCGGGCUUAACUUGGAGAGGCCGUCCAAUACUGCGAGGCUAGAGGUUAUUCGAGGAAAGUGGAAUUCCUGGUGUAGUAGUGAAAUGCGUAGAUAUCAGGAGGAACACCCGUGGCGAAGGCGGCUUUCUAGG